UGAUAUUUCAACAGCGGGCACACACCCCCUCUUACCAAGGGUACUUCCCCAGCCUUCCCAGGGAAGCAACGAGUGCCUCCAGGCUCCCUGCUUGAUGCCACUCUCUGGACCUGCUUUGGGGGUCUAAAUGCAAGAGAGCCGUGUGUCGUGUGUUGGAUAACUAGCGAUGGAAGAAAAAAUCUCUAGGAGAACAGCUAUGAAAGCUGCUGAGAUCUGCCUGCAUCACCUUUGCCUCCCCAUCCCACACAGGAUAUAAGCACAUGAUCUUCGGUCUUUUAUUUGCAUACUCUACUAGUCCUGUCUUCAUUGGAGGGAAGUGACUGGCCAGACCUGGGCUGUCUUGCUGGCUGCCUUCCUUGCUGGGCUCCAACUUAUCUCCUAUGUACACAGCCCUUGGAGUUCAGAGGCCUCUGCUGACCUCUGUCCAACCUCUCCUCUGCACCCAAGCCCCCACUGGUACAUACAGGAGCAGAGGCAGACAAGGCAGGCAAUGACUAGGAGACAGGAGAGGGGCUGGAGACAGGCUGCUAGAGGGCUCAGAACCCCAGCACACCUCCCUGUCACAACUCUGUCCACCACCUGCUGUGACCACAGCAACAGAAGAGACAGCUAAUAAGACAAAGUGAGGCCCGGUACCUUGUGGACAGUGGUGUCAUUAGCUGCGACGCCUAAGAUGUCUCGAGAGAUGGGAGAACUCACCCAAACCAGAUUGCAGAAGAUCUGGAUUCCACACAACGGUGGCAACAGCAGGCUGCAACGCAGGAGGGGCUCAUCCAUACCCCAGUUUACAAAUUCCCCCACGAUGGUGAUAAUGGUGGGUUUACCAGCUCGAGGAAAGACCUACAUCUCCACGAAGCUCACACGAUAUCUCAACUGGAUAGGAACACCAACUAAAGGGCUCCUGCUUUCAGUGUUUAAUUUAGGCCAGUAUCGACGAGAGGCAGUGAGCUACAAGAACUACGAAUUCUUUCUCCCAGACAACAUGGAGGCCCUACUUAUCAGGAAGCAAUGUGCCCUAGCAGCCCUGAAAGAUGUCCAUAACUAUCUCAGCUGUGAGGAAGGUCAUGUUGCGGUUUUUGAUGCCACCAACACUACCAGAGAACGACGGUCACUGAUUCUGCAGUUUGCUAAAGAACAUGGUUACAAGGUCUUUUUCAUCGAGUCCAUUUGUAAUGACCCUGACGUCAUUGCAGAAAACAUCAGGCAAGUGAAACUUGGCAGCCCUGAUUACAUAGACUGUGACCAUGAAAAGGUUCUGGAAGACUUUCUAAAGAGAAUCGAGUGCUAUGAGGUCAACUACCAACCCUUGGAUGAUGAACUAGACAGCCACCUGUCCUACAUCAAGAUCUUCGACGUGGGCACACGCUACAUGGUGAACCGAGUGCAGGACCACAUCCAGAGCCGCACAGUCUACUAUCUCAUGAACAUCCACGUCACACCCCGCUCCAUCUACCUAUGCCGGCACGGUGAGAGUGAACUCAACCUCAGAGGCCGCAUCGGAGGUGACUCUGGCCUCUCAGCUCGGGGCAAGCAGUAUGCCUAUGCCCUGGCCAACUUCAUUCAGUCCCAGGGCAUCAGCUCCCUGAAGGUGUGGACCAGCCACAUGAAGAGGACUAUCCAGACAGCUGAAGCCCUGGGUGUUCCCUAUGAGCAGUGGAAGGCCCUGAAUGAGAUUGAUGCGGGUGUCUGUGAGGAGAUGACCUACGAAGAAAUCCAAGAACACUACCCUGAAGAAUUUGCACUACGAGACCAAGAUAAAUAUCGCUACCGCUAUCCCAAGGGAGAGUCCUAUGAGGAUCUGGUCCAGCGUCUGGAGCCAGUUAUAAUGGAGCUAGAACGGCAGGAAAAUGUAUUGGUGAUCUGCCACCAGGCUGUCAUGCGGUGCCUCCUGGCCUACUUCCUGGACAAGAGCUCAGAUGAGCUGCCGUAUCUCAGGUGCCCUCUGCACACAGUGCUCAAACUUACACCUGUGGCUUACGGCUGCAAAGUGGAGUCCAUCUACCUGAACGUGGAGGCUGUAAACACACAUCGGGAGAAGCCUGAGACCCCUCAGCUCCAAAAGAAUUCUAGGCACGGCCCCACUGAUGUUCCUGCCCUUCAACCCUCAUGAUUCACCCAUACCAGGAAGCCCUCCCUUGAGAACCACUCUACCAAGGUCAAUAGGAAGAGACAAGCAACAACAGGGAAGCUUCUGGAGAUACAGAAAACUUGACAGUAGGAAUGACCUGCCUCAGGCUUCUACAACCUCCAGUCAAUCAUAAUCAGGCACCACUACUAUGUAUUGACUCGAAACAUCUGCCAAGUAGAAGAAUAGCCUGUGAGGUCACAAAAUUCAGCCUAGGCAGUGAAAUAAUGCAUGUAAAGCACUUAACUAACACAGCAAACAGGUAUUUCACCAACUUAUUUGCCUGGGAGAAGAGGAAUACAUGGGGACAUCUCAAUAUGUUUUCAUAAAACUUGGAAGAAUGACA